rfam:Oryza sativa Japonica Group DNA, chromosome 8, cultivar: Nipponbare, complete sequence.
AUACCUUUCUCGGCCUUUUGGCUAAGAUCAAGUGUAGUAUCUGUUCUUAUCAGUUUAAUAUCUGAUAUGUGGGCCAUGUGUCUACUUUGAUAUUAAAUUUAUUUUUCGUGGGGAGAGGGUUCACCAUAGUGGCUUGCAAAGCGUUGCACUAAAGCUCAUGCUAGGCACACCCCAA